rnacentral:rRNA from 1 species
UACGUAGGAGGCGAGCGUUGUCCGGAUUUACUGGGCGUAAAGCGUGCGUAGGCGGUGUUCCAAGUCUGUUGUGAAAUCUCCCGGCUUAACUGGGAGGGUGCGGCGGAAACUGGAACGCUGGAGUAUGGGAGAGGUAAGCGGAAUUCCCGGUGUAGCGGUGAAAUGCGUAGAUAUCAGGAGGAACACCCGUGGCGAAGGCGGCUGCCUGGGGCAUCACUGACACUGAGAAGCGAAAGCUAGGGGAGCGAACGGG